UACGUAGGGUGCAAGCGUUGUCCGGAAUUAUUGGGCGUAAAGAGCUCGUAGGUGGCGUGUCGCGUCUGCCGUGAAAGCCCAUGGCUUAACUGUGGGUCUGCGGUGGAUACGGGCAGGCUGGAGGCUGGUAGGGGCAAGCGGAAUUCCUGGUGUAGCGGUGAAAUGCGCAGAUAUCAGGAGGAACACCGGUGGCGAAGGCGGCUUGCUGGGCCAGUUCUGACGCUGAGGAGCGAAAGCGUGGGGAGCAAACAGG
rnacentral:rRNA from 1 species